GACGAACGCUGGCGGCGUGCUUAACACAUGCAAGUUGAACGGAAAGGCCCUGCUUUUGUGGGGUGCUCGAGUGGCGAACGGGUGAGUAACACGUGAGUAACCUGCCCUUGACUUUGGGAUAACUUCAGGAAACUGGGGCUAAUACCGGAUAGGAGCUCCUGCUGCAUGGUGGGGGUUGGAAAGUUUCGGCGGUUGGGGAUGGACUCGCGGCUUAUCAGCUUGUUGGUGGGGUAGUGGCUUACCAAGGCUUUGACGGGUAGCCGGCCUGAGAGGGUGACCGGCCACAUUGGGACUGAGAUACGGCCCAGACUCCUACGGGAGGCAGCAGUGGGGAAUAUUGCACAAUGGGCGGAAGCCUGAUGCAGCAACGCCGCGUGCGGGAUGACGGCCUUCGGGUUGUAAACCGCUUUCGCCUGUGACGAAGCGUGAGUGACGGUAAUGGGUAAAGAAGCACCGGCUAACUACGU
rnacentral:rRNA from 1 species